GCUGGGCGUGGUGGCGCACGCCUGUAAUUCCAGCUACCAGGGAGGCUGAGGCAGGAGAAUUGCUUGAACUCAGGAGGUGGAGUUGCAGUGAGACAAGAUCACACCACUGCACUCUAGCCUGGGUGACAGAGCAACACUCUGUCUCAA
rfam:Homo sapiens chromosome 1, GRCh38 reference primary assembly.